UAAGACGGAGGGUGCAAACGUUGUUCGGAAUCACUGGGCGUAAAGGGCGCGUAGGCGGACUUGUAAGUCGGGAGUGAAAACUCGGGGCUCAACCCCGAGCCUGCUUCUGAAACUGCGAGUCUUGAGGACCGGAGAGGAAAGUGGAAUUCCUAGUGUAGCGGUGGAAUGCGUAGAUAUUAGGAAGAACACCAGUGGCGAAGGCGACUUUCUGGACGGUUCCUGACGCUGAGGCGCGAAAGCUAGGGGAGCAAACAGGAUUAGAUACCCUGGUAGUCCUAGCCGUAAACGAUGAGUGCUAGGUGGUGGUAGUUUCAACACUUUCACCGCCGCAGCCAACGCAUUAAGCACUCCGCCUGGGGAGUACGGCCGCAAGGUUG
rnacentral:rRNA from 1 species